rnacentral:rRNA from 1 species
UACGAAGGGGGCUAGCGUUGUUCGGAAUUAUUGGGCGUAAAGCGCGCGCAGGCGGUCCUUUAAGUCUGAUGUGAAAGCCCACGGCUCAACCGUGGAGGGUCAUUGGAAACUGGGGGACUUGAGUACAGAAGAGAAGAGUGGAAUUCCACGUGUAGCGGUGAAAUGCGUAGAGAUGUGGAGGAACACCAGUGGCGAAGGCGACUCUUUGGUCUGUAACUGACGCUGAGGCGCGAAAGCGUGGGGAGCAAACAGG